rnacentral:RNase_P_RNA from 1 species
AAAGAAGAUAAAAUGUCUGCCCAACUCUUUUUGAGUUGGAAGGAAAGUCCGGACACCACAGGACAGGAUACUUUUUAAUGGAAAGUUUCGGCGACGGAAAGAUAGCUCCACAGAAACAGACUUCCUCUUUGAGGUAAAGAUGAAAAGGUGGUGUAAGAGACCACCAGGUUACGAUGUGAAUCGUAAUGCUAGGAAAGCCUUAUCCGGUGCAAUGCCAAAUAGGAAAGCACGAGUUGGUCCGACUCUAUUGCUUUCGGGUAGGCAGCUAAAAUUGGUCUUUUUUAGAGUUCUUUUGAACGCAGCAAUGCCCAGUUUAGAGAGAUAGACAUUGUUUUGCUUUUUAGGCAAUUCACAGAAUCCGGCUUAAUAUCUUCUUUGACA